rnacentral:rRNA from 1 species
AUUGAACGCUGGCGGAAUGCUUUACACAUGCAAGUCGAGCGGCAGCGCGGGGCAACCUGGCGGCGAGCGGCGAACGGGUGAGUAAUACAUCGGAACGUACCCAGUUGUGGGGGAUAGCCCGGCGAAAGCCGGAUUAAUACCGCAUACGACCUGAGGGUGAAAGGGGGGGACGGCAAGACCUCUCGCAGUUGACGCGGCCGGUGGCGGAUUGGAUAGUUGGUGGGAUAAGGGCCCACCAAGGCGACGAUCCGUAGCGGGUCUGAGAGGACGACCCGCCACACUGGAACUGAGACACGGUCCAGACUCCUACGGGAGGCAGCAGUGGGGAAUUUUGGACAAUGGGGGCAACCCUGAUCCAGCCAUUCCGCGUGAGUGAAGAAGGCCUUCGGGUUGUAAAGCUCUUUCGGCAGGAACGAAACGGUGGGUCUUAAUACGAUCUGCUAAUGACGGUACCUGAAGAAGAAGCACCGGCUAACUACGUGCCAGCCGCCGCGGUAA